UACGUAGGGGGCAAGCGUUGUCCGGAAUUAUUGGGCGUAAAGCGCGCGCAGGCGGUCCUUUAAGUCUGAUGUGAAAGCCCACGGCUCAACCGUGGAGGGUCAUUGGAAACUGGGGGACUUGAGUGCAGAAGAGGAGGGUGGAAUUCCACGUGUAGCGGUGAAAUGCGUAGAGAUGUGGAGGAACACCAGUGGCGAAGGCGACUCUCUGGUCUGUAACUGACGCUGAGGCGCGAAAGCGUGGGGAGCAAACAGG
rnacentral:rRNA from 1 species